rnacentral:rRNA from 1 species
UCAAGCAAGAAGAGGUUUGCGGCGGAUGCCUGGGAGCUGUCCGGCGAAGAAGGCCGCGGUAAGCUGCGAAAAGCUGCGGGGAGGAGCACACAUCCUGAGAUCCGCAGAUAGCCGAAUGGGGUAACCCGUAUGUCGUAAGGCAUACACCGCGCGCGGGAAGAAGAUACUGCGGCGGAGCGAUACUGCGUGAAGUGAACCAUCUAAGUAACGCGGGAAGAGAAAUCAAAAGAGAUUGCGCAAGUAGCGGCGAGCGAACGCGCAGGAGCCUAAACCCUUAUGUAGGGUGUUGCAGGGCCGCACGGGGAUGACCCGUGGAGUUGGUGAGAAAACCGAUAUGUAGCGGAAGCGUCUGGAAAGGCGCGCGAGACAGCGUGAAAGCCGCGUAUGCGAAAGAUAUCGGACUCCAUGGUGCGGUACCUAAGUAGAGCGGGGCACGAGAAACCCUGUUUGAAUCCGGGUCGACCACGAUCCAAGGCUAAAUACGAGACAGCUACCGACAGCGAAGAGUACCGUGAGGGAACGGCGAAAAGAACCCCGGUGAGGGGAGUGAAAGAGAACCUGAAACCGCAAACCGACAAGAUGUCACGGCGCGUGAGCGUUGUGGCGUGUCUUUUGUAGAAUAAACCUGCGAGUUGCGAUGCGCGGCGAGGCUAAGGGUUGGGAGAUCCGGAGCCGGAGCGAAAGCGAGUGUGAAAAGUGCGAAAAGUCGCGUGUCGCAGACCCGAAGCCAAGGUGAUCUAAUUAUGGGCAGGCUGAAGGCAGGGUGAAACCUGUUGGAGGGCCGAACAGUAAUCUGUUAAAAAAGGUAGUGAUGACCUGUGAUUAGGAGUGAAAGGCUAAACAAACCUGGAAAUAGCUGGCUCUCCCCGAAAUGCCUUUAGGGACAGCCUCAUGCAAAGCGGAAGGAGGUAAAGCACCGGAUGGGAUAGGGGGCGUCACAGUCUACCGACACCAAUCGAACUCAGAAUGCCAUCCGCCAACGCAUGGGAGUGAGACUGUGUGCUCCAAGGUUCAUAGUCGAGAGGGAAACAGCCCGGACCGACGGCAAAGGUCCCGAAAUAACGCUCAGUGUGAAAUGAGGUGCGUCUGCACAGACAGCCAGGAGGUUGGCUCAGAAGCAGCCAUUCCUUAAAAGAGUGCGUAACAGCUCACUGGUCGAGCAGGCGUGCGCAGACAAUGUAACGGGGCUAAGCGUUAUACCGAAGCCGCGGUUCCGCAUCUUGUGAUGCGGGCGGUAGGGGAGCAUUGCGCUAACCGGAGAAGGCGUACCUGUGAGGGGCGCUGGAGGAAGCGGAAGAGAGAAUGCAGGCACAAGUAACGAAAAGACGGGUGAGAUUCCCGUCCGCCGAAAGCCUGAGGAUUCCCGGGUAAAGGCAAUCUGCCCGGGGUAAGUCGGCCCCUAAGGCGAGGACGAAAGUCGUAGUCGAUGGGAAAUCGGUUCAAAAUCCGAUACCCGAUUCAGUUUUGAAGGCAGGACGCAUGAGGUGAAAUCCGGCAGAAGAACGGUAGAUUCUGUCCAAGCGGUAAGGUGUUGAGAGGGCGGUUAAAAGAGCCCUUGAGCUGAGCCGUUACGGGGAGCGGAGCGCAGGCGAAGCGAAGCGGAUGUAAUCAAGGUGCCGGGAAAUACUGUCUAAAGCUAGGCUGAGUCGGACCGUACCGGAAACGGACACACGCAGGCAGGAUGAGUAAUCUAAGGCGCACGAGCGACCCCGCGUUAAGGAACUCGGCAAAAAGCACACGUAACUUCGGAAGAAGUGUGGCUCACGCUGAUAAGGAUGUGAGCGGCAGAAAGCAGGCCCAGGCGACUGUUUACCAAAAACACAGCCAUCUGCGAACCGGCAACGGGACGUAUAGGUGGUGACACCUGCCCGGUACCGGAAGGUUAAGGGGAGGGGUUAGCAGGAAUGCGAAGCUCCGAACCGAAGCCCCGGCAAACGGCGGCCGUAACUAUAACGGUCCUAAGGUAGCGAAAUUCCUUGUCGGGUA